rnacentral:lncRNA from 1 species
AUAAUAAUGACCGGAGUGUGUACUCAGAAAGGAAGAAGGCCAAGAGAGGAAAUUAAAGAAAAACGGAUUACUAGAUGAUCAUCAGAGGGGCUUAAAAACUUAUUUUAGAUUUACACAAGAAUGGUGGUGAGUACGGUUUAGAGUGGUUAUGUCCUAUGAAUAUAAAAUGAGGGGUUAAUAGUGUUUUUCAUCCCUGUAAUAUAG